UCCAAGUGAUAAGCAUUAUAGAUUGAUUUCCUUUUUAAAGAGAGUCACAUAUUUCUAAUUUCAUUUUUUUAUUUCUGGAAGAAGUUACCUGUGUCUUUAUUCCCACAAUAUGUUGUGUAUUUAUACACUAAGACAUCCACAGGGAUGUUUCUUACAGCAAUGUUUGAAGUAACGGGAAAAAAAAAGUAACUUACAUGACCCUAGCACUAGAGUCUCCAGUCAAAUCAAGUCUAUGGCCUGUAAGCUAAGAACGGUUUUACAGGUGUGCAGUGAAGGACUUAGCAAGUCUGGCUUACUCAAACCCUGCACAUUCCAAAGAUAAGUCUGCCCCUUGACCAAGUCCCUGGGAGAUAACCUUUAAGCCCUUGGAAUAUCCUGCCUUCUGUGAGGGCCUGUGUCUACCUGGGGCCUUGAGCCAUGUCAGAAGGAUUAUGCUAACAGUGAUUUCUGGUGGGGGCGCUGCAGUGCACAGGAUCCGUUUGAUCUCUGGAGGAGCUGGAAACUGAAUAACUAAGGUCAGCCAUGUGGAUGCUCCAUGCCUGUGAGACCUGACCCUCACUGAAAGCCCUGGGCAUGAAGUCGCAGAAAAGAUUUGAAGCUCGGAGAAGCCACAUUUUCCCCAAGAUGAAAGAACUAGCAAGAACAAGGGCUGCAGCUGUCUAGCGAAUACAGGAGUGACCAGGUCCCCUGCCAGGGAGAACAAGAAAGGCCCAUGUGGACUUUGCUGCCUCCCACGCAACUGAGGGUGAUCAUGCAACCUGAUCCUGACCAAUGAGACUUGAGAACACAUUUGCUGAAGAAUAUCGAGAAAAGCUGCCUCCAAAUUAAAGAAGGGCCCUCUUUCCCACUCACUCUCUUUCUUUUCUUCCUGUCUUGAACACAGUUAUGUGAAGACACAACGGCCAGAGCCGUGAAAAGCCAUUUUACAAAUAUGAGGCAACAAGCAACUUCUCUACUCUCCUCCAAACAGAACCAAAGAUUGGAGCCAGGAGUGUGAGAUGCUUAAAGCUCUCUCCUAAACCUAGCACAGAGAGGUCAAGUAACUUGCCCAACAUCACACAGCUAGUAUGAUGUAGAGCCAGGGCUUGAACCCAAGUAUUUUAUCCCCAAAUGGCUGCUUUUAUUUUUUCCACUGAAUCCUUUUCCUUGCCUACAGUCCUCCUCUCAGCCCUUUUCUCUUCCUACACUCCUCCUAGGCAGUCGUACCCAGGACCAAGCUGUCAACCAUCACUUCUAGGAGAGAAUUCAAAAUCUACAUUUUUAGUCCCGGGCUCUCUAAUAAGAGCCAAUCCCUCACCCUCAAAUUUCUGCUAGAGGGUCCAAUCAACGGUCUUAUUUCAAGUUCCUUGUGCCUACAACUGAGCACAUUUCACCCUCCAGUGCCCUCCAACUACGUGUCCUUUCCUCGACUUAGUUCAUCUUAGGUAAUGAAAGCUCAGUCCUCCCAGUCACCACGACGUGUUGAGGACAGAACAUGGGUUUUGAAAUCCAGCAGACUUGGGUUGGAAUUGACCAGCCUUCAGUUGCAGAAUCCUUGGGAGGGCUAAAGAAAUAGAUCUGGCAUGAGCUUCUAGGAGCAAUAACCAAAGCCGCACUGCCAACCUGAGCCGCCAAGGGAGCUGGCAGCUCCAGAGCCUCAGUUGCCACUGUCCUGGUCGAGGGGGAAACCAGCAUAAUCAGGAAGCAGCCACUGCAGCUCCAGCCCCACAACCUGCCUGCUGCAAUUCACUCUGCAGAAUAGGAGCCCUUCUCCUUAUCUCAUCCUGAACCUAUAUCCUCUUUCCAUCAAAUCAGUGGUGCUCUGCAGCAGCCAAUUCCACUGUCUUUCUAGUUACCAUUUUCAUCAUGCCUCUCUAGUGCCAGAAAUAUUAUACCAGGAGUAUGCCCCCUGUCACCGGUAUCCCAUCCCAAUUCACGGCCAAUGUCAGUUUUCCCAACUUUUCCCUCCACCUGUUCCUGCCGUCGUUACUUCCUUCCUUACAAACUUUCAACAUGCAACUCCCCAUCUCAGAGUCUGUCUGCAGGGAUCUCAGUCUGAGGCAGUUGGUACUGGAAGUGGUCCUGGGAAGCCGACUCUGAAAUGGGAUUUCACUCAGCCAUUAAAAAAAAAAAAUGAAAUAAUGCCAUUUGCAGAAACAUAAAUGGACCUAGAGAUUAUCAUACUAAAUAAAGUAAACCAGACAAAGACAAAUAUCAUAAGAUAUCACCUAUAUGUGGAAUCAAAAAAAUGACACAAAGGAACUUAUUUACAGAACAGAAACAGACUCACAGACAUAGAAAACAAACUUAUGGUUACCAAAGGGGAAAGGGGGGUGGGGUGGAGGGGAGGGAUAAACUAGGAGUUUGGGAUUAGCAGAUACAAACUACUAUAUGUGAAAUGAACAACAAGGACCUAUUGUAUAGCAGAUGGAACUGUAUUCAAUAUCUUGUAAUAAACUAUAAUGGAAAAGAGUCUGAAAAAAUACAUACAUAACUGAAUCACUUUGCUGUACACCAGAAACUAACACAUUUUAAAUCAACUGGACAUCAAUUAAAAAUAAAGUAAAAUAAAAUGGGAUUUUAGAGAUGGACCACUUACUGGCCAGCUGGCAGUGAGGACCCCUUCACUGGUGGUAGGGGGAGGCUGACAGCCCUUGACAUGUUGUGGUGGAGUUGUAGUUUGAGGGAGUGCAUAAUUGAAAUAGCGAGAAAGCGGUGGUUCUGGAGUUUGAAACUCGGUCCCUGUGACUCUGAAGCCUGUGUUUCUUUUUUUUUUCUUUUUUUAAUGACAAAUUAUAUUCCAAAGUGGCUCUAGUAGUACCAGAGACAUUGAUGUAGAGUGUAAAGAUUGUUUCAGGUAAAGUGAAAAUGGAUAAAAGCGAUAUUUCUAGUUAAUAUAUUUUUAGAUAAUGUGAUUUUAAAUAUGAGUUAAAAUGUAAUAAAUAUUAAAGAACUUAUUUACAAAACAGAAACAGACUCACAGACAUAGAAAACAAACCUACGGUUACCAAAGGGGAAAGGAGAGGGGGAUAAACAACAAGGUCCUACUGUAUAGCACAGGGCACUAUAUACUCAGUAUCUUGUAAUAAACUAAUGGAAAAGAAACAAUGUAAUAAAUAUUAAAAAUAGAUGUUUUACUAUUUUAUCUAUUUUGAAAGGUUUAUAUAUUCAGAAUUACAGGGGAGAUUUUUGGUUUUGUUUUUUUAAGGAGAAUCACUUUAUUUUGAGUAGUAUACAAAACUCCAUUUAUAACAUAAUAAAAAAAUCUUCCAUCAGUUUCUUCACAGUUAGUCCAAAGAAUAAAACCUCUGACUUAGAGUUUACAUUUAACCUUAAAUAUUCUGAAAUCCAUCCGUGUCAACUUUGGAAUUCUAAUCUUGCCUGAUACUAUGAAAUAGGGCAAACCUUGAUCAAUGGGCAAAUUCCUAAUUUUUGCCGUUCAGCCACUUUUCUGGAUCUUGCUCUCUGAUUCUGUACAUUCCAGAGUGUUCAAUGGAUUUGUAAUGAACUUCCAAGAUGAAGGGGAAUUUCUUGCCCAUUGUUUGCCUGAAACCUUGGCUUGUGUUCAUCUUUUUAAAGAAAAAAUAUGCUCCAAAAACACCCACAAGUUCAGCUUAUAAAACUCCUUUAAAGAUCUUCUUCUUCUUCUUUUUUUUUUACUUCUAUGAAGUAUUUUUUAACAUAUUUAUUGGAGUAUAAUUGCUCUACAAUGGUGCAUUAGCUUCUGCUGUAUAACAAAGUGAAUCAGCUAUACAUAUACAUAUAUCCCCAUAUCUCUUCCCUCUUGCAUCUCCCUCCCACUCUCCCUAUCCCACCCCUCUAGGUGGUCACAAAGCACCGAGCUGAUCUCCCUGUGCUAUGUGGCUGCUUCCCACCAGGCAUCCAUUCUACAUUUGAUGGUGUAUAUAUGUCCUUGCCACUCUCUCACCUCGUCCCAGCCCACUCCUCCCCCUCCCCGUGUCCUCAAGUCCAUUCUCUACGUCUGCACCUUUAUUCCUGUCCUGCCCCUAGGUUCUUCAGAACCUUUUUUUUUUUUAGAUUCCAUAUACAUGUGUUAGCAUCCGGUAUUUGUUUUUCUCUUUCUGACUUACUUCACUCUGUAUGACAGUCUCUAGGUCCAUCCACCUCACUACAAAUAACUCAAUUUCGUUUCUUUUUAUGGCUGAGUAAUACUCCAUUGUAUACACGUGCCACAUCUUCUGUAUCCAUUCGUCUGCUGAUGGACACUUAGGUUGCUUCCAUGUCCUGGCUAUCGUAAAUAGUGUUUUGGUGCUCAGGCCGGGUGUCAGGCCUGAGCCUCUGAGGUGAGAGAGCCGAGUUCAGGACAUUGGUCCACCAGAGACCUCCCAGCUCCACGUAAUAUCAAACGGCGAAAGCUCUCCCAGAGAGCUCCAUCUCAGUGAUAAGACCCAGCUCCACUCAACGACCAGCAAGCUCCAGUGCUGGACACCUUAUGCCAAACAACUAGCAAGACAGGAACACAACCCCACCCAUUAGCAGAGAGGCUGUGUUUCUAUUUCAGUGUUAAACAUCAACUAUGUGACCUUGGCUGAAUCACCUAACCCCUUUUCUAGCUCUGAAAUUCUACAGCUCUACCUUGAGGGAAGGUAUUACGCAAUGAGCUAUAAGGCACCAUCCAGUAAUGUCUAACUAGUGCCAAGGAUCUGGUUCUCUCUGUUUCCAGUAUUUGUUUACAGGGAGGAUAAGCACAGUUCUGCUCUGCCGUCAUCAUGCUGUUUAGGUUCCCUAUGUCUCACCCUCUGCCCAUGAGAGAUAAUGGACGAUUUGUCCUGAAGCAUGUAGUUCAUUUAACAGCGCAAAUCCUCUUCCUCCUUUACCCUGCUUCCCCCAGUUACCACAUUGUUCUGUGCUUCAUUAGAAAACACAUCCUUCUUUCCACGACAGUGACCCCAAGUAUUUCAUCAAUUCACUUGUGUCACUGAAAGCCAAGUGUUUAUUCAGGCUGGCUACAAACAAAGGCUACUCCGUGAGGCUGUGACUGCAGUCCAGCUGACCAGAUUACCUUUCACAAGAUGCGUUGUUUUUUAUUUGUAACAUGGCAGUAUCUUUCGUAGACAUGUUACGUCGGUGGCACAUAAUUGCACCAACCUAACAAAUAGUCUGCGGUCACCUUUAUCUGUAUUUACUCCUAGUUUUGUCCAUCUUUUGUUACUGUAUUUACUGAGUUGUACUAUUGUGUAGUUAUAAUUUUAUAUUUUCUUUAUUUGACCUACUUCAAAGGUUUUUCCAUUCUUUUAACCUGGACUUCACUGUUUUAACUGUCGCUUUAUAUUAGCAAGAAUUUAUUGGUUCACUCAACAAACGUUUACGUAAUAACUACUUAAGUAUUCCUUUGUGGAUUUCUCCCAGUUUUUAUUAUUGUUAAUGUGAUAAAUGUCAUUGUGUACAUACCUCUCUUGAUCUUCUGGUUUAUUUUCUUAGGAUAAAUUCCCCAAAGUGGGAUCAUUAGGAUGAACAUUUUUAGAGCUCUUAAAGCUAACGGCCGACCACGUGUGACUGUAUCAUUGACUCUAUUUUUUCAUGCUCCCAGUCAUUCAGGAGAUAAAAUCCCUACUUUUUUGUAAAUGCGGGACCCCCUCCACCCCACCCCCAAACUGGCUUUUGCCUGUCUCUCUCUCUCAUUUCUCAACACUCCUCAAUUUUUCAUUUCCCUCGCUUCCAUCCAUACAAAGUGUACAUAGAUUUUUACGUGCAGGAUACCUUGUUUUGAACAUAUUCCUGCUACCAUAGGUGCUGUACUGCAACAGAAUGCUGGACAAAUAGUCAUUU